UUUGCUGACCCAAAGAAAGUAACUAUAUUCUCAUUGCAAAUGCUCCUAUUAGAAUAAGUCCUAAAAGGACAAAGUCUAUGGUACGCUUAAAGCAUAUAGACAAAUCGGUUUCAAAUAAACUUCUUAAUAAAAAAAAGAGCAAAUGAUCAAAAUGAUCAUAAUAAGGAGACAAGUGAUCUAGAAGAUCAAAUGACAUAACACUUCAUAAAAUCUCAGAUGAAAUUCAGGUACCUGAAAAUAUGAAUGAAGAGAUCUUUAUGUCAUAUCUUUAUGAAAAAAUGUUGGAACCGAUAUAAAAUGUUUGUAGAGGAGAUAUAUCAUAGCUCUAAGUAUAGAUGAGGAUAUUAAGUCUGUCGAAUACAGAUAUAAAAAUAUUGUCCAAAUGAAAGAGACACAAUUUGAAUAGAAUUUGUUUCAUAUGAAAUACAUGUAGUUUUGGACCUGCAGUUCAAACACUUGAAAGUAUAAAGUCAAUGAUAUGUGCAAUCAGUUUUCGAUAUCUUAUUUGUCUAGCAUGACAUGAAAAUUGAUAUGCAUCUAAUUAAAGUCUAUUAUAUGACUUAUAUAACAAUCCAUAAAGGAUUUAAGUUGAUUGAAGCAUAUACAAUUCUUGAUCUUGAAGUACCACAUCCUCUGUGCAAUUCAUGCACAAAUGUAUCUUGCUAUAACUAUAAGCAUGAUAAUAUGAUAGCGAGAAUUAUUUUUACAUCUAUGAAGAUAUUGAAAAAGUUAUUCCACGACAUUAUAUGAAGAGAUUACAUAUAUACAAGAAUGGUGAUUUCAAGGUGCAACAUAUUCAUUCAAAAUAAUAUUUGUUUAUCAAAUCUCUACCAAUGAUCUUUUGAAGAUGGUGCACAAGAUUGAAAUGCAAAGGCUCAAGGAUGUGAAUUGAUGCUCUCAUCAGGGUGAGUUAAUACGCGUUGUACUCAUUUUUCCUUACAAGGUUUUAUCCCAAUGGGUUUUCCUUGCAAGAUUUUUAACGAGGCAACCAAAAGGCGUAUUGUUAAAUAUGUGUACUCUUUUUCCUUUACUAGAAUUUUUUCCCACUGAGUUUUAUUUUAGUUAAGGUUUUAACGAGACACAUUAUCUGUUGGAUAGACAUUCAAGGGGGUGUGUUAUAAUAGAAUUCUAUUUAAGAUGAAUGUCUAUAUUUUAGAGAGAUUUUAGGGUUUGUUACUUGUUGGCUAAGUCACUUUUUCCCUAUAAAUAAAGGGGUUCUAUUCCAUUGUAAAUGACUCCAAAUCAAUAAGAAUUCUCUCUUUCUACUUUUCUCUGCAAUAUUUUCCUUCUUCUUUUAUUGUUUCAUAACAAAAGGAUUGAAUUCCUAAUUGUUAGGAGUUUAUAAAUAGUUCAAAUAAACUAAGGUUUGAUAGUAAAAAAGUUUAGUUAAUUUUAAAAUUCUAAAUAUUAGGAAAAUAACCUAAUGACUGUUUUGUCUAGUGUGAAAUCUAUUUUAAAAGGAUAAAAAAUUAAACGACAUUUCGCUAAGGGCCUUCGUGCUUUUAAUAUAGUAUAGAUAUACACAUUAUGUAUUAAAGCAGUGACGGAUCCAGAAUUUUAAAGUCGUGGGUGCUCACUGAUAAAAAUUUUGAAAGAAAAAGAAAAAAGAGUUUAAUUAUGAGUGCUCACUCAAUAUUUAUCUAAAUAUUUUUAUAAUUACCUAUACAAAUUAUUAAAUCUUGUCAAAGAUAAUGGAGGCUUAAACACCCAAAAAUAACAUGUAGCUCUGCCACUAUAUUAAAGUACAUAAAUAAAAGUAUAAAGAUAAAGUGUCGUUGACGUAGGCAAUUCAGGAAAUCUUUCACCUGAGAUUUUCCAUUUGGUAACUAGAAAAGUAGGAUAGGAUAACAUAGAAAAGUGGGGCCACAAGGGUGAAUUGGCAGGACGGCCCAAAACGUGGGUCAGAGUUAGAAACGGGGUAAUGGGCCCAGUGCGCCGUGUGCGUAGACUGAGUUCAACGUUUUCUUGACUUUGUACGUUGCCGUCCCGUGAUUAGGUCAAAUUUGAUUAACCCUUAAUUUCGAUGGAAAUUCUUGAAGAUAUAGAAAUAUUCAAAUAUAAUUUAUAGUAGAGGGAGAGCUGCCAGUCACUGUUUAAUUGGGCUAAUACUAAUCAACUAACUGAUAGUAGUGGAGUAUGAUUUUGAAAAGACUAGUCAAUUCUACAAACGUCAUCUUAAUUUUCAGCAUCCAACUACCACAUAUUACUUGUUCAUUUAUUAUGCUUCUUUUAUAACUUGAGUCACAAAUUACAAUUAAUUUUGUGUCAAGUAAACGUCAUGAUAAUCUAAAAUGAUCUCUUUAAUUUGUUUCUUAGUUCAGCAAGUUGAUUGGUUGAAUAGUAGUUGUACCUUUUAUCAUUUGCCUCAAACUAAUGAGAAUAACAACACUCAUAUGCCACAUGCUGGUGAGCGCUUCAACAAUGAGAAUUUUGGUAAGUACUGAUGAUGUCAAAAACUUCAUAAAAAAUGAGAAAGUGAUUCCGCCCUCAUAUGCCAAAUUUGAUUAAGUUUGGAAUUGUUUUUGUAGCAUUUUUAAUAAGAAUUAAGAAAUCUAUUCAUAUGUACAGAACUUUAUUUGCACCUUUAAAAGACAUUCAACAGGCUAUUGAAUGUCUUUUAUUUUCCUCCAGGUUACAUGCUAGUUCGAAAUUUUCUCUUGAUUGGCAGGUAGGGAGCUAAAUAAUCAUUGUGGUUGAGUAAAUAAGAGUUAAAGAAAAUAAAAGAAAUGGAGAGAAUAGAACAAAUGUUUUAUUCUUUAUAAGAAUUUUUUUGCAAUGUUAAAUUAUAAAUUUUGUGGUUAAAACAGGCCCAAAGAGGUGGAACGCUGCAUAUUUAAAUAUCUUGUCUAUCUCAUCUUUUAAACUAAAAAUAGUCGGCGGAUGUCUAGGUUGAGUUUUUUGGGUAUGAAUGGAAAAUGGAAGAGACACCUCUUCAUUUUGUCACACCUCCUUUUUCCCGAGGGGAUAGGGAGUUUUUCCAAUUAAAGUGACAUUAAUCGAAAUGAGAUUAUUUAUUUAAUUUCAGAGUUGCCACUUGGGAUAAUCUAUGAUGUUCCGAGUCACCGAUUUAAAAUUCCGAAUCGAGGAAAACUCUGUUUUAUAAUCCGUGAAACACAGAAAUCCGGGUAAGGAAUUCUGUUAACCCAAGAGAAGGUGUUAGGCAUUCCCAGGUUUCGUGGUUUUAGCACGGUCACUCAACUAUUAUUAAUUGACCUAAUUAUCUGAUUAAUUACACAUUUUAAACCUACGUGCAUUUUUAACUUUCUAACCGCUUAUAAUGUUUAUAGAAUUAUUUUCUGGAACAAGUCACGAUUGUCGUACACUUGUUGUUUUGGUACACAUUGCAAACCGCAUCACAUGAAAUGCACCCGCAACUUACAACAUAUCUAUUUUAUUAUUAUUGUUAGAAGUUAUGCUCGGAUCAUAUGAAAUGCACACCCGAGUGGGAUUUACGUAUCAUGAUCAUGCCACGAGAAUCGUACCCAUGGCCACAAUGAAUUGUUAAUCGCGCUUAUAGCAAACUACGAAUGUUUAUAAUUUAUUUAACUUUUAAACCCAAACCAACUAAUAUCUUGUUCAAGUCAUUGGAGUCUUUAAUCCAACAAACUAAUUCAAAAAACCAUUUUUAAGCGACAUUACGAAACAAGCAGCUUCAAACAAAUGAGCAGUCAUGUUUCAUUAAAGAAUUCAACAAAUGAACUAAUUUUUGAAAGCAAGCAUAGACUAAUGAACCAUGUAUAUCACUCAAAUAUUCAUUCAAAGGUUCUGGGGAAGAUUCAACAAAAUUCCAACAUAUACUAGUUUGACUAACGAAUCACAGUCAUCAAAAUACCACAAAGAUCAAGUAAAGAAAGAUUUGAAAUAUAACUUAAAUUAAAAGAUCAGUUAAGAAGGGACCUUAGAAUAGCAGAAUCAGAAUUCCUUUUCGCCUUGAUACUUUGAAAGAUAUACAAGGGCCUUUGGCCAAAAUCGAACAAAUCACAGUAUGAACAGAGAUGGAAAACAGCAACAACAACAGAAAAUUACUUUGCGAACCUCGAACCUCAGAUAGAAAACUCGACGGGUCGGCUCAAGGAAAAUUGGAAUAAACCAAUUAAGGCAGAAGAAAUCAUAACCGGAGCCCAGCAGUCUUAGAAACAGCAAAAUUGGCGGAAUCAAACGAACGAUUUGACUCUGAAUUCUCCUUAAAACCAAAAAACUAAUAGAGGACCUAUUGUUUCAGAUCUUCGAGUUCCUCUUUUUUCGUUUGUUGCUAUAUGCUUAUAUGAGAGUGAGGAGUAAAUGAUAGGGUUAUUAUGUGCAUGUGUGUGUGUCGUCAGAUGAGGGCGGGGAAGCAGAGGGGAUGGCGGCUACUGGUAGGAGAUGGGUCACUGGAAGGGUUGGAGGUGUGUUGUCCGGCGUGAGGGGUGACUUUGGUUGGAGAUGGUUGUUUGUUUUUUAGUGGGUGUUAGGUUCUACAAUUUGUCUUAGGUUGUGAAGGAUGAAGAAGAUAUGAAAUGACUGGGGACCUUUUUAGAGUAGGGGUCACUCCUCUUGAAGGGUUAAGGUGUAAGGGUUUUUUAGUUUAGGGGAGUAUGAGCUUAGGAAU
rnacentral:lncRNA from 1 species